CCUCCGGAUGUCUGGAGUUUUGAUCUCCUCCAUACCUGCUUCACACCCUGGAGGACGGGGCUGUGGCCCCCCCACACUCCCUAGCAGAUCGUUACAUGGAGAAACCUUUGGAAUACAAGCGCGCUGAUCCAUACAGAGCAGCGCGGCAGUUUGUGCUCACAGAUGGUGACGGUGUGGAGAGACGGUGGUGUUUCCUCAGAAGAACCAGCAGAGUCACUUGCUGACUGAUGUUCGUCUGCACUGCACAGAGGAAAUCAACUGACCGAGGAGUGUUUCUGAGUGAGGGGGAGAGGAGUCAUCAUCCAGGUAAAGUGACGUGGAUCAGUGGAUACACUUGUCUCCCCUUUAAAGGAGACAAUCCAAGUCAUCCUUAAAUAUGGGCAGCAUAUCAGUCUUGGACUGUCUAACCUGCCGGAGCAGCACUGAAUGACCACCACACAUGAGCAUGUUCCUGCAACAUUCAGCAUCUGAUCCUUCAUCUGUGUGCUUCUGCUUUUGUGUCACAUGUCAAACAGCUGGAGAGGAAACUACACCAGUGUACUGAGAUGUUUCACCAACACGUGCCAGAUGCUGUUCCUUCAUGGUGACAUCACCAGAGACAGCCCCACCCACCUCAGGACCUCGCCAUUGAUCAUGAUGAUUAUAAUGAUGACAGCGAGCGGAACUAAGACUGUAAAAAUCCACGACCAGAAUGUUUCUUUCUAAUUAUUAAUGAAUACUGAGAGCCU
ensembl:lncRNA